GUACUCCUGAGGAGUCUCAAACUAGGACGAAACAGCUGUCCAGUAC
rnacentral:hammerhead_ribozyme from 1 species